CAGGGUUUUACACUGUCCCUCUACCAUAUAAGCCGCCGCAACAGUCCUCCCUGUUUGCUGCAAAAGUAGAUGAAGAAUUUCAGAAAGAAAAGUAGAAAACAAAUUGGAAGAAGAAGAUUUGGAAGCUUACAUUAUGUCGGCGCCUAAAAUUAAACCUUUUAGAAAUGUUAUGUAAAUUAGAGUUUUGAUCUAAAUAAGGUUUGCAGUUGGUGCCAUUUUUUUCCACUAGACUUGACUCGGAGUGAUGGGAUGAAGAUCUUGAAGAUACCGAAUCCCAUGAGUCCCGAUUCCGCCAAUGUAUGAGGAGAGGACUGAGAAGCAGAAAUCGGGGUUUCAUUUUUGCUCCAUACCCUCCAUUUCCAUUUUUUGAUUACUUGAUUGUGGACUUAUGGUAAGGGUCCAUCGAGAGAGAAGCAGCGUGGAAUGCAACAUGGU
rnacentral:lncRNA from 1 species